GAGUUGUUCUGUGAGAAAGAAUGACAUUGGAGUGGUGACCAGUGGACCUGGGCUCGUUUCUCAAGCAUUAAUUUGGUUUCUUUACACUUCUCAGGGGCACUUGCCAUGGGGGCCUGCAGUCUGCUGGCAAGGAAGAUAGUCGAUUUUUCCAAGCAAUGCAGGCCCCAUGGAGUCCUGGAUUUGGUGUGACCUAGCAGCCACAGUGCACCCCGUGCUGGUGGACAGCUCAAUACGGACACAUUGUCAUGAGAAGUCCACCGCUUGCUGCCAAGGAAGUUGGGCAAUUCUUCUGACCAACAGAGGCCACGUUGAGUCCUUGAUUCCAUGUGUCCUGACAUCUACAGUGCCCCCCAUGCUGGAGCAGUUGCUGUGGAAGGCCCUGUCUACUGGCAAGGAAGAUGGUUAAUUCUUCCAAGCAAUGAAGGCCCCACCGAGUCCUGGUUUUGGUGUGGCCUGGCCUCCAUGGUGCGCCCCAUGCUGGUGGACAACUCAAUAUGGAGCAGUUGUCGUGACAGGUCCAUUGCUUGCUGGCAAGGAAGAUGGGCAGUUCUUCUGACCAACAGAGGC
rnacentral:lncRNA from 13 species